UCCCCGUUGCCGGGGCAGUCUGGCUAGAAAAAUUCAACUAACCACAAGGGUUGCGCUCGUUAAUGGACUUAACCAAACAUCUCACGACACGAGCUGACGACGGCCAUGCAACACCUGUCAUUGGAUUCCCGAAGGCACUCUUUCCUUUCGGAGAGAUUUCCAAGAUGUCAAACCCUGGUAAGGUUCUUCGCUUACCAUCGAAUUAAACAACACGCUCCACCGCUUGUGCGGGUCCCCGUCAAUUCCUUUGAGUUUUAAACUUGCGUUCGUACUCCCCAGGCGGCAUGCUUAACGCGUUAGCUUCGCUACUACCAGGGUCGAUACUGAUAACAGCUAGCAUGCAUCGUUUAGGGCGUGGACUAC
rnacentral:misc_RNA from 1 species